CACACUUGGACUUAUAUUUGAACUUUCUUUUGCUUUUUAUUUGUUUGUCCUCAUAUAUAUAUAUAUAUGGCUUUUUUUAUAUGUAUGUGUGUGUGUGUAUAUAUAUAUAUAUGAGGACAAACAAAGAAAAAGCAAAAGAAAGUUCAAAUAUAAGUCCAAGUGUG